CCUCUCUCACCAGCCUCUUCCCCUUCACGCGCCUUUGUUUCUGUUCAUUGUUUCUCCUGAGUUUGUUUUUAUUGUUUCUGAUGGAUUGAGUUCAUCAGAUGGAAGUUACAUAACAACGAACAAUUGGCGACUGUGAUCAACAUGCCACGGUGACGUAAAUUCACAGACAUGCACGCCGACCAAAAGCCUCUUAUUUUGCCCUACAUGGAAUCUGAAGUGGAGGGAUGCACUAAUAUUUCCCUUCAACUUGAUAUCCAGAUCCAGCAGGCUCUAUGGUGGCCUUUACUGUGACAGAUCGCUGUGGCUUCUGUAAGAUGCAAAGUUUUUAGUGUGAGAUAAAUAUUUUAAAUUUUGUACGAGGAUGAAAGAAAAAAUAAUUCAAAUGUCAGUUUUGGAACUAAUUAAUACAUAAUAAGGACUUGUUAUGAGAAGGGUAACCCGUUUUAAAUUUCAGUGUUUGUGGCUAUUCAUUAAACUUUUUGAAACAAUGUUUCCUCCUGAGAUGUGAAAUACAAACUUUAAUCUGUAUUCCAAAUCUUACUUCUUUGGUCCGAACACACAGAGCAUGGCAUUGAACUGACUUCUUGAAAUUACACGUCGCACUUAAAUGUCACACCAUCUCGUCUUAAUUUUGCAUGAGAACAAUUGUUUUCACCGCCUCAUGAACCUAUUACCAUGCUGAUAGUUCAUUGACCUGGGUGUUUGCUAGUCAUGCAUUGGUUAACCUUUUAGGCCCUCUGUACAUGUCGUGCUUAAUGCUGAGUAUUAAAGCUGUGUGAGGAGGUAGGUGUGUUUGGGUGACACUGGCCUGUGUCCCAGACAGCCCAGCUUUCCCUGUGGGUGUCCCUGAACAGGCAUCUGUUGUACUCAGACUCAUAUGUUCCUGGCACAAAGUGGCCAGAGAUGACCCAGUACCAGUGAGAGAGAAGUUAUAUCAUGUGGAAAAGUUUGAUCAUAGAGAGCCGAGGUUCCAACCCUCAGCCUUUUCAUUUGGCAUCUCUUUUUCACACCUUCUUAAAUAAAAACAUGAUAUGUGGUUUGUAUCUUUGGCUUCAUUUUCCAUAUUCUUAAACAACAUAAAA